rnacentral:rRNA from 1 species
UGGGGAAUAUUGGACAAUGGGGGCAACCCUGAUCCAGCCAUGCCGCGUGAGUGAUGAAGGCCUUCGGGUUGUAAAGCUCUUUUGGCGGGGACGAUGAUGACGGUACCCGCAGAAUAAGCCCCGGCUAACUUCGUGCCAGCAGCCGCGGUAAGACGAAGGGGGCUAGCGUUGUUCGGAAUUACUGGGCGUAAAGCGAGUGUAGGUGGUUGUCCAAGUUGGAUGUGAAAGCCUUGAGCUCAACUCAAGAAAUGCAUUCAGGACUGGAUGACUAGAGGACCGGAGAGGAUAGUGGAAUUCCCAGUGUAGUGGUGAAAUACGUAGAGAUUGGGAAGAACACCAGUGGCGAAGGCGGCUAUCUGGACGGUUUCUGACACUAAGACUCGAAAGCGUGGGGAGCAAACA